rnacentral:pre_miRNA from 1 species
UGGUAACUCCACCACCGUUGGCUGAUUGAAUGAAGUUGUCAACGGUAGAGGAGUUCCUUAU